rnacentral:rRNA from 1 species
GUGCACGCUGGCGGUAGGCCUAACCCAUGCAAGUCGAACGGCAGCACAGUAAGAGCUUGCUCUUACGGGUGGCGAGUGGCGGACGGGUGAGGAAUACAUCGGAAUCUACUUUUUCGUGGGGGAUAACGUAGGGAAACUUACGCUAAUACCGCAUACGACCUACGGGUGAAAGCAGGGGAUCUUCGGACCUUGCGCGAUUGAAUGAGCCGAUGUCGGAUUAGCUAGUUGGCGGGGUAAAGGCCCACCAAGGCGACGAUCCGUAGCUGGUCUGAGAGGAUGAUCAGCCACACUGGAACUGAGACACGGUCCAGACUCCUACGGGAGGCAGCAGUGGGGAAUAUUGGACAAUGGGCGCAAGCCUGAUCCAGCCAUACCGCGUGGGUGAAGAAGGCCUUCGGGUUGUAAAGCCCUUUUGUUGGGAAAGAAAAGCGGCAGGUUAAUACCCCGCUGUUCUGACGGUACCCAAAGAAUAAGCACCGGCUAACUUCGUG